GACGAACGCUGGCGGCGUGCUUAACACAUGCAAGUCGAACGAUGAAGCCGGAGCUUGCUCCGGUGGAUUAGUGGCGAACGGGUGAGUAACACGUGAGCAAUCUGCCCUUGACUCUGGGAUAACUGCGGGAAACUGUAGCUAAUACCGGAUACGACCCUCGGAGGCAUCUCCUGGGGGUGGAAAGAAUUUCGGUCAAGGAUGGACUCGCGGCCUAUCAGCUAGUUGGUGAGGUAAAGGCUCACCAAGGCGACGACGGGUAGCCGGCCUGAGAGGGUGACCGGCCACACUGGGACUGAGACACGGCCCAGACUCCUACGGGAGGCAGCAGUGGGGAAUAUUGCACAAUGGGCGCAAGCCUGAUGCAGCAACGCCGCGUGAGGGAUGACGGCCUUCGGGUUGUAAACCUCUUUUAGCAGGGAAGAAGCGAAAGUGACGGUACCUGCAGAAAAAGCACCGGCUAACUACGUGCCAGCAGCCGCAGUAA
rnacentral:rRNA from 1 species